UACGGGGGGAGCAAGCGUUGUUCGGAUUUACUGGGCGUAAAGGGCGCGUAGGCGGCCACUGCAAGUCGGUUGUGAAAUCUCUGGGCUUAACCCAGAAAGGUCAAUCGAUACUGCGGGGCUAGAGUGCAGAAGGGGCAACUGGAAUUCUCGGUGUAGCGGUGAAAUGCGUAGAUAUCGAGAGGAACACCUGCGGCGAAGGCGGGUUGCUGGGCUGACACUGACGCUGACAGCGCGAAAGCUAGGGGAGCGAACGGG
rnacentral:rRNA from 1 species